UACGGAGGGUCCAAGCGUUAUCCGGAAUCAUUGGGUUUAAAGGGUCCGUAGGCGGUUUUGUAAGUCAGUGGUGAAAGCCCAUCGCUCAACGGUGGAACGGCCAUUGAUACUGCAAGACUUGAAUUAUUGGGAAGCAACUAGAAUAUGUAGUGUAGCGGUGAAAUGCUUAGAGAUUACAUGGAAUACCAAUUGCGAAGGCAGGUUGCUACCAAUACAU
rnacentral:rRNA from 1 species